AAAAAUUUCCCGAAAGCACAAUCCAAACGGGGUAUUAAUUUUCAGCAAGGUUCUUAUGCAAUUUUCCAAAACUUCCAAGGUACGAGCGCAUUCCUUUUGUUGCAAGGUUGUGAGGAGCAGGGAAACAGAAACAAACGGUGAAGAGGCAAAAGAAACAGAGUCCUGUGGGAGUCAAUUGAAGGGGUUGAUGAUGGAAAUUAAGAUGGCUAAGCUUCAAGCAUGCUACAAUUGUUGUCUGCUUAUUCAACUUGCUCACUGCCCAUUUCUUGCUUCAGGGAUUCCUCUCUGCUUCUUCAUUUGGCCAGUUCUCUUCUUCUCACCAACCCAAUUCAGUUUUACUUAGGCACAUGAAGGAAUCUGAGGAGGUACGCCGUGCCAUGAUACCUUUGGAUUUUAUCAAAAGAGGCUUUUUGGCAACGCUUUUGCUGAAGGAGAAGAAAGGAAUGGAGAGGUUGCUGAAUUUGAGGACUCUGAAAUCCCGAGAGCAAUUCUGCCUUUAAAUUCUGAGAAUGAGAACCAGCUGUUGAACGCUGUGG